rnacentral:tRNA from 1 species
AAGGGAGACCUAAUUCGGGUAUAAGACGAAAAAAGAGUAGUCGAAACCAAGAAUCAAUCCCAAAAGGUCGGAACGAGGUAUGUGGCUUUCAAACUAGGUUCUGGGUUCACACAAGACCUGAAUCAGGAACAAGGGCUAUUAGCUCAGGUGGUUAGAGCGCACCCCUGAUAAGGGUGAGGUCCCUGGUUCGAGUCCAGGAUGGCCCACCUGCACAGGUGGCAAAAACAAAGAAGCGAGGAAUCAGCACCUUAUCUUAUCUAUAUAUAAGAGAGAAUGCUGGCUCUGAGUAAAGAGUCCAGAGGAACCUUGAAAACUGCAUAGAGCUAGGUGAAAAAGCCAAAAAAAAAGACCGCAA